AACGCAUCUUGCGCUCGCUGGUAUUCCGGCGAGCAUGUCUGUUUGAGUGUCGUGAAAUCUUCAACCCUUUAAUUUUUUUAUAAUGAGAAUUUUAAUGUGGUUUGGUUUUUGAAUAUUGCUGGAAUCUUUUGAGAUUCGUUAGCUUAUUCGUAAUUUAUUAGCAUUUCAAAUUUCGAGAUCAGAUUGACUCGGCGUAAUAGAUUAUUCGCUGAGGAUAUGUUUUUUGUUGUUGUGAAAAACAUAGCUGAACUUUUGAGUUAAAAAGAAAGCUUCUAAUCCUUUUUAUUUUUAUUUUUUAUUUUUAUUAUUAUUAAUUAAAAAAAAAAUCCUUUUAAUUAGACCUCAGAUCAGGCAGGAUUACCCGCUGAACUUAA
rnacentral:misc_RNA from 1 species